rnacentral:rRNA from 1 species
AGAGUUUGAUCAUGGCUCAGAUUGAACGCUGGCGGCAUGCCUUACACAUGCAAGUCGAACGGCAGCACGGGGGCAACCCUGGUGGCGAGUGGCGAACGGGUGAGUAAUACAUCGGAACGUGUCCUCUUGUGGGGGAUAACCAGUCGAAAGAUUGGCUAAUACCGCAUGAGAUCGCAAGAUGAAAGCGGGGGACCGCAAGGCCUCGCGCGAUUGGGUUGGCCGAUGUCCGAUUAGCUAGUUGGCGGGGUAAGAGCCCACCAAGGCGAUGAUCGGUAGCUGGUCUGAGAGGAUGAUCAGCCACACUGGGACUGAGACACGGCCCAGACUCCUACGGGAGGCAGCAGUGGGGAAUUUUGGACAAUGGGGGCAACCCUGAUCCAGCCAUGCCGCGUGUGUGAAGAAGGCCUUCGGGUUGUAAAGCACUUUCGGACGGAACGAAAUCGCGCGAUCUAAUAAGUCGCGUGGAUGACGGUACCGUAAGAAGAAGCACCGGCUAACUACGUGCCAGCAGCCGCGGUAAUACGUAGGGUGCGAGCGUUAAUCGGAAUUACUGGGCGUAAAGUGUGCGCAGGUGGCUGAGCAAGUCGAGUGUGAAAUCCCCGGGCUUAACUUGGGAAUUGCGCUCGAAACUACUUGGCUCGAGUGUGGCAGAGGAAGGUGGAAUUCCAGGUGUAGCGGUGAAAUGCGUAGAGAUCUGGAGGAA